rnacentral:rRNA from 1 species
GAUGAACGCUGGCGGCGUGCCUAAUACAUGCAAGUCGAGCGAACAGACGAGGAGCUUGCUCCUCUGACGUUAGCGGCGGACGGGUGAGUAACACGUGGAUAACCUACCUAUAAGACUGGGAUAACUUCGGGAAACCGGAGCUAAUACCGGAUAAUAUAUUGAACCGCAUGGUUCAAUAGUGAAAGACGGUUUUGCUGUCACUUAUAGAUGGAUCCGCGCCGCAUUAGCUAGUUGGUAAGGUAACGGCUUACCAAGGCGACGAUGCGUAGCCGACCUGAGAGGGUGAUCGGCCACCCUGGAACUGAGACACGGUCCAGCCUCCGGGGGGAGGCAGCAGUAGGGAAUCUUCCGCAAUGGGCGAAAGCCUGACGGAGCAACGCCGCGUGGGUGAUGAAGGUCUUCGGAUCGUAAACCUCUGUUAUUAGGGAAAAACAAAUGUUUAAGUAACUAUGCACGUCUUGACGGGACCUAAUCAGAAAGCCCCGGCUAACUACGU